UUUUGGCUGAAUUAGUGAUCGGCUAAAACACAAUUUAAAUUAAUUUUUGGAGUUACUAUGUCACUAAGCAAUCAAGAAAAAGUUGAGAUCAUCGGUAAAUUUGCACGCGCUGA
rnacentral:ncRNA from 1 species